rnacentral:rRNA from 1 species
AUGGAGCAUCAGCAGGAGGAGUCGUGUGUUCCCCCGGGGUUCAGGUUCCACCCCACAGAGGAGGAGCUGGUGGGGUACUACCUGGCCAGGAAGGUGGCCGCCCAAACGAUUGACCUCGACAUCAUCCAGGAGGUCGAUCUCUACCGCAUCGAGCCAUGGGACCUCCAAGACAGGUGCGUCGGCGGCAAGGGAGGACGGGGAGCGCGUCAGGUAGCGGAGGACGAGCAGUCAUCGUCAGAGUGGUACUUCUUCAGCUUCAAGGACCGCAAGUAUCCGAGCGGCACGCGCACCAACCGCGCCACGGCGGCCGGGUUCUGGAAAGCCACCGGCAGGGACAAGCCGGUGACGUCGUCCAGGAGCCGGGGCGUCAUCGGCAUGAGGAAGACGCUCGUCUUCUACCAGGGCCGCGCCCCCAAUGGUAGGAAGACCGAUUGGAUCAUCCACGAGUAUCGCCUCCAGACAAGCGAGCACGCACCCACACAGGAGGAAGGUUGGGUGGUGUGCCGGGCGUUCCAGAAGCCCACCCCGAACCAGAGGCCGUCCUACAUCUUCCCUGCAUACGCCGACGCGCGGCCGUGGCUGCACAUCCAAGGCGGCGGUGACCUCCAUUACCUGCAGAGCGGCACUGGUGCGGCCGGCGGCCUCGGCUUCCCGAGCCAGGACGUCAAUUACUCCUCCGAGGACCUGCUGGACUCCAAGCAGAGUCUCUUCGGCAAUAUCCCGCAGCUCAUCGAGAGCCCGCCGGCGACUGCCCUUCUAGGCUGCGGCGACGAUGCCGUCCUCCAGCAGCAGGGACAGGGACAGGCGGCGGCCGGCAUCGACUGGAACUUCCUGGACAGCUUGCUGUCCACGUCACAGCUCCACGUCACAGCGUCACAUCUGCACCUAGAGCAAUGA